GCUCUCACUCAAAUUUUUACGCCCGGGCCAAGCGUGCUUUCUUGAGGCAGCUCCGUGUUUCUAUCCGUAAAAAUUAGGAAAAUGGUGAAAAAUCCAACGGGAAAAAUGUCGUGCAGGCGUGUGAUGUAAUGUUUAGUGUAGUACUGCAGCGAUUGCACACAAAAAAUUGUCGAAUAGAACGUGGGAGAGAGAGCAAUUAGGAAGAGGAGAAGGAGAUCAAAGAAUGAACGCAUUUGCACCGCUCUCACUCAAAUUUUUUCACCCGGGCCAAGCGGGCGUCGGCCAGCCAGCUCCGCGUUUUAAUCCAUGAAAAUCCGGAAAAUGGUGAAAAAUCCAACGGGAAAAAUGUCGCGCAGGUGUGGGAUGUAAAGUUUAGAGUAGUGCAGCAGCGAUUACACACAAAAAAGUAUGUUUUACUACAAGAAAAUGUGUUGAGAAAAAAGCGGGGGCGCAAAAGAGUUAAAAUGGCGGCAUCGUUGCAGCUCGACGAAGGAAAAGUGCGGCAAUUCGUGAUAAAUCCAUAUAAAUUUGAUAUAUAAAGCGAAAAGCAUGUUGUUUUUGCAUAAUUUUCUUUUUUUCAUGUGUAAAAAUCUAAAAGGUCUUGUUCCGUUGUCUCGCCUUUUUUUCGUUUGGGUUCCAGCAAUGUGUAGGGCUUGAAAAGUCAAGUUUGUCCCUUUCCCACUCCCAUUACUCGAGAAAUCUUCAAAUUAAUACCUUUUCUAUGCUGAUGAUCUCAUCACUGCACUGACCAUCUCCCCCCCGCCCCUUUCUAGAGCAUAAGCUCAAGCAACUACACACACACGCAUUGCAAAAGCAAAGACACUCUCAACUUUUCGCCUCUGCUUCAGUUCAUUGCACUCUCACCAACUGCAGUGGGAAGAGAGGAUCAAAGACAAAAAAUCUUCAAAUUAGUAGACUUAUUCUAUGCUGAUGAUCUCAUCGAUGCACUGCCCAUCUCCCCCCGCCACUUUAUAGAGCAUAAGCUCAAGCUUAAACACACACUCAAUCAAAGAUAAAAAAAACUUUUGUGCCCAUCUCCCACCCACCCUUCAAGAGCAGAAGCUUUAACACAAGCACGCAUUGCAAAAGCAAAGACACUCUCAACUUUUCGCCUCUGCUUCAGUUCUUUGCGCUCUCACCAAAUGCAUUGGGAAGAGAGGGUCAUGAGCAUAAACUCAAGCAACUACACACGCACACAAAUUGCAAAAGCAAAACGAGAGAGCUUAAAUGCUCUCACCGAUUACGGUUCGUUCACCUACAAAUGACCGAAUGCUUUGUCAAAUUUGAGCUCCCAGCGCAGACGCACGUUUUUCCGUGCCGUGGAGUAAAAAAAUCUUGAAAAAUAUUGGAAAAUGAUCGGAAAUUAUAUAAAAACCCGCGUGAUAAGUGUAGCAAGUGUUUAUAAUAAAAAUGCGCCAGAAAAGUCUUGUAACAAGUCGGAAAAUUAUUGUGAAAAGCCGAAAAAGUGAUGAAAAAUGGUCGAAAAUGCAGGAAAAUGCAAUCCCAUGUGUGUGAAGAGCCAAAGGUUUGGGAAUAAUUGAACAAAAAGAUCGCAGCAAGUGUGAAAACCGCGCCAGACAAAAUUGAGCGAAUUGCUUGGCACCAGGUCAUGAAGUCAACUUUCAGCUCGAGUUUUUUCCCUUUCUUUUGUUGCUUUUUUUUUUGUGCGAGAGUUGGAGCGAAGCAGGAUGGUCAUCAAGACGGCAAGGAGUGCAAGCGGCAAGCAGUGUAAAGCGGAAAGCAGAGCAAGGCGAUAUUGGCAAAAAGUGAGUGAAAGUGUCAGUGAAAACCGUACAAAAAUAAAUGUACCGCAGGAACUAUAUAAAAAAAAAUAUUGAGCGCAAUGCGUGGAAGUAAACAAUUAGUAUUUUUUUUUCUGUGAGUGCUAGAUGGUCAACAAGACGGCAAGGAGUUCAUAGAAGCGAACAGUGCAAGGCAGCAAGCAGUUAAAGGCGAAAUUGGCGAAAAGUGAGUGAAAGUGCAGGAUGGUCAUCAAGACGGCAAGGGGUGCAAUGCGGCAAGCAGUGCAAGGCGAUAUUGGCAAAAAGUUAGUGAAAGUGUCAGUAAAAACCGUACAAAAAUAAAUGUACCGCAGGAACUAUAUAAAAAAAAAUAUUGAGCGCAAUGCGUGGAAGUAAACAAUUAGUAUUUUUUUUUCUGUGAGUGCUAGAUGGUCAACAAGACGGCAAGGAGUUCAUAGAAGCGAACAGUGCAAGGCAGCAAGCAGUUAAAGGCGAAAUUGGCGAAAAGUGAGUGAAAGUGCAGGAUGGUCAUCAAGACGGCAAGGGGUGCAAUGCGGCAAGCAGUGCAAGGCGAUAUUGGCAAAAAGUGAGUGAAAGUGUCAGUAAAAACCGUACAAAAAUAAAUGUACCGCAGGAACUAUAUAAAAAAAAAUAUUGAGCGCAAUGCGUGGAAGUAAACAAUUAGUAUUUUUUUUCUGUGAGUGCUAGAUGGUCAACAAGACGGCAAGGAGUUCAUAGAAGCGAACAGUGCAAGGCAGCAAGCAGUUAAAGGCGAAAUUGGCGAAAAGUGAGUGAAAGUGCAGGAUGGUCAUCAAGACGGCAAGGGGUGCCAGGCGGCAAGCAGUGUAAGGCGGAAAGCAGAGCAAGGCGAUAUUGGCAAAAAGUGAGUGAAUGUGUGAGUGAAAACCAUAAAAAAAAUAAAUGUACCGCAGGAACUAUAUAAAAAAAAAUAUUGAGCGCAAUGCGUGGAAGUAAACAAUUAGUAUUUUUUUUCUGUGAGUGCUAGAUGGUCAACAAGACGGCAAGGAGUUCAUAGAAGCGAACAGUGCAAGGCAGCAAGCAGUUAAAGGCGAAAUUGGCGAAAAGUGAGUGAAAGUGCAGGAUGGUCAUCAAGACGGCAAGGGGUGCAAUGCGGCAAGCAGCGCAAGGCGAUAUUGGCAAAAAGUGAGUGAAAGUGUCAGUAAAAACCGUACAAAAAUAAAUGUACCGCAGGAACUAUAUAAAAAAAAAUAUUGAGCGCAAUGCGUGGAAGUAAACAAUUAGUAUUUUUUUUCUGUGAGUGCUAGAUGGUCAUCAAGACGGCAAGGGGUGCCAGGCGGCAAGCAGUGUAAGGCGGCAAGCAGAGCAAGGCGAUAUUGGCAAAAAGUGAGUGAAUGUGUGAGUGAAAACCAUAAAAAAAAUAAAUGUACCGCAGGAACUAUAUAAAAAAAAAUAUUGAGCGCAAUGCGUGGAAGUAAACAAUUAGUAUUUUUUUUCUGUGAGUGCUAGAUGGUCAUCAAGACGGCAAGGAGUUCAUAGAAGCGAACAGUGCAAGGCAGCAAGCAGUUAAAGGCGAAAUUGGCGAAAAGUGAGUGAAAGUGCAGGAUGGUCAUCAAGACGGCAAGGGGUGGCAGGCGGCAAGCUGUGCAAGGCGAUAUGGGCGAAUAGUGAGUGAAAGUGGAGGAUGGUCAUCAAGACGGCAAGGGGUGCCAGGCGGCAAGCAGUGUAAGGCGGAAAGCAGAGCAAGGCGAUAUUGGCAAAAAGUGAGUGAAUGUGUGAGUGAAAACCAUAAAAAAAAUAAAUGUACCGCAGGAACUAUAUAAAAAAAAAUAUUGAGCGCAAUGCGUGGAAGUAAACAAUUAGUAUUUUUUUUCUGUGAGUGCUAGAUGGUCAACAAGACGGCAAGGAGUUCAUAGAAGCGAACAGUGCAAGGCAGCAAGCAGUUAAAGGCGAAAUUGGCGAAAAGUGAGUGAAAGUGCUGGAUGGUCAUCAAGACGGCAAGGGGUGCAAUGCGGCAAGCAGUGCAAGGCGAUAUUGGCAAAAAGUGAGUGAAAGUGUCAGUAAAAACCGUACAAAAAUAAAUGUACCGCAGGAACUAUAUAAAAAAAAAUAUUGAGCGCAAUGCGUGGAAGUAAACAAUUAGUAUUUUGUUUUCUGUGAGUGCUAGAUGGUCAUCAAGACGGCAAGGAGUGCAAGCGGCAAGCAGUGCAGGGCGAUAAUGGCGAAUAGUGAGUGAAAGUGCGUGAGUGAAAAGAAGAACGACAAAAUGUACCGCAAAAACUAAACAAAAAAGAGCGACAAGCAGUACAAAACUAUAAGUGAGUAAAACUGCGAGUGGAAAUAAGAACAAUGGAAUACACAGAAAUGAAUAAGGACCGGCAAGCAGUACAAGCCGAGAAGAGCAACGAGAGUUGUGUCGAUUUAAAUGAAAGACUUAUCUGCAGAGCACUCAACAGUCCAAUCUUAUGCUAAUUUAAUGGAAAUUCAAAUCCCUGCGGAGAGAGAGGUAAGCACUUUAUUAACAAACUACUAAAAACUACAAAACCGAGACGCCGCUUAAGAUAUCGCGUUACAUAAACCCCUGGGCACCCCCCCCGAAAGGCAAAUUAGUUGAAGAAACCCCCAGAAAUGGGAAACGAAAACGGAGAUGAUGGAGCGG